CGGUUGCUUGGCAGAGCCUCUGUCAUCUCCCCUGCGGAUAGCGACAGGAGCUCCCUAGCUGGUCUGCCUGCCCCGGGCCUGCGUGCUCCUGUCCUGAGCAGCCAGAGGGAGCUUUCUAAGGCAGAGCUGACCAUAUGGCUCUCAAGCUGUCUGAGGACUCCUCAUCUGGAGAGGGAGAGCCCACGGCAAAAAAGGCCCGGUCGAAUCCUCAGGUGUACAUGGACAUCAAGAUCGAGAACAAGCCAGCCGGCCGCAUCCAGAUGUUGCUGCGUUCCAACGUUGUUCCCAUGACAGCAGAGAGCAAGAUAGAGACCACAAGCAAGGGGAGCAGCAGAGGGAGAGGGAGAAGCAGGC